GCAGUUUUGAUACAUUCAUUGAUCAUUUUCGCAGGUUCAUACCAAGGACGAUGUGUGAUUUGUGGCGGUCCGGGAGUGUCAGAUGCAUACUAUUGCAAGGAGUGUACCAUCCAAGAGAAAGACAGAGACGGUUGUCCAAAGAUUGUCAAUCUGGGAAGUUCCAAGACAGACUUGUUCUACGAACGGAAAAAGUAUGGAUUCAAGCAACGUUAGACGAAAAAAAUCAAUUUUGGAUUUUCGAUGGAAAAUAAUUUUUUUUAUUAAAUAAAGAGCGCCACAUCCGAGA